GGUUAAGCGACUAAGCGUACACGGUGGAUGCCCUGGCAGUCAGAGGCGAUGAAGGGCGUGCUAAUCUGCGAUAAGCGCCGGUAAGGUGAUAUGAACCGUUAUAACCGGCGAUACCCGAAUGGGGAAACCCAGUGUGAUUCGUCACACUAUCAUUAACUGAAUCCAUAGGUUAAUGAGGCGAACCGGGGGAACUGAAACAUCUAAGUACCCCGAGGAAAAGAAAUCAACCGAGAUUCCCCCAGUAGCGGCGAGCGAACGGGGAGGAGCCCAGAGCCUGAAUCAGCAUGUGUGUUAGUGGAAGCGUCUGGAAAGGCGCGCGAUACAGGGUGACAGCCCCGUACACAAAAAGCGCAUGUGCUGUGAGCUCGAUGAGUAGGGCGGGACACGUGGUAUCCUGUCUGAAUAUGGGGGAAAUUAUCCUCCAAGGCUAAAUACUCCUGACUGACCGAUAGUGAACCAGUACCGUGAGGGAAAGGCGAAAAGAACCCCGGCGAGGGGAGUGAAAAAGAACCUGAAACCGUGUACGUACAAGCAGUGGGAGCCCCACCACCAAAGCAUUCUCUGGUGUUGAAGGCCCUGCAAAGCAGCAUCGCGGUGGCGGAGCGUCGUUUGCGACCCCCACACACAAAAACAAGCGGUGAGUGCUUUGGGGUGGGGUGACUGCGUACCUUUUGUAUAAUGGGUCAGCGACUUAUAUUCUGUAGCAAGGUUAACCGAAUAGGGGAGCCGGAGGGAAACCGAGUCUUAAUUGGGCGUUAAGUUGCAGGGUAUAGACCCGAAACCCGGUGAUCUAGCCAUGGGCAGGUUGAAGGUUGGGUAACACUAACUGGAGGACCGAACCGACUAAUGUUGAAAAAAUUAGCGGAUGACCUGUGGCUGGGGGUGAAAGGCCAAUCAAACCGGGAGAUAGCUGGUUCUCCCCGAAAGCUAUUUAGGUAGCGCCUCGUGAAUUCAUCUCCGGGGGUAGAGCACUGUUUCGGCUAGGGGGCCAUCCCGGCUUACCAACCCGAUGCAAACUGCGAAUACCGGAGAAUGUUAUCACGGGAGACACACGGCGGGUGCUAACGUCCGUCGUGAAGAGGGAAACAACCCAGACCGCCAGCUAAGGUCCCAAAGUCAUGGUUAAGUGGGAAACGAUGUGGGAAGGCCCAGACAGCCAGGAUGUUGGCUUAGAAGCAGCCAUCAUUUAAAAGAAAGCGUAAUAGCUCACUGGUCGAGUCGGCCUGCGCGGAAGAUGUAACGGGGCUAAACCAUGCACCGAAGCUGCGGCAGCGACACUCAGGUGUUGUUGGGUAGGGGAGCGUUCUGUAAGCCUGCGAAGGUGGCCUGUGAGGGUUGCUGGAGGUAUCAGAAGUGCGAAUGCUGACAUAAGUAACGAUAAAGCGGGUGAAAAGCCCGCUCGCCGGAAGACCAAGGGUUCCUGUCCAACGUUAAUCGGGGCAGGGUGAGUCGACCCCUAAGGCGAGGCCGAAAGGCGUAGUCGAUGGGAAACGGGUUAAUAUUCCCGUACUUGGUGUUACUGCGAAGGGGGGACGGAGAAGGCUAUGUUGGCCGGGCGACGGUUGUCCCGGUUUAAGCGUGUAGGUGUGUGUUCCAGGUAAAUCCGGUUCACUUUAACACUGAGGCGUGAUGACGAGGCACUACGGUGCUGAAGCAACAAAUGCCCUGCUUCCAGGAAAAGCCUCUAAGCAUCAGGUAACAUCAAAUCGUACCCCAAACCGACACAGGUGGUCAGGUAGAGAAUACCAAGGCGCUUGAGAGAACUCGGGUGAAGGAACUAGGCAAAAUGGUGCCGUAACUUCGGGAGAAGGCACGCUGACACGUAGGUGAAGUGAUUUACUCAUGGAGCUGAAGUCAGUCGAAGAUACCAGCUGGCUGCAACUGUUUAUUAAAAACACAGCACUGUGCAAACACGAAAGUGGACGUAUACGGUGUGACGCCUGCCCGGUGCCGGAAGGUUAAUUGAUGGGGUCAGCGCAAGCGAAGCUCCUGAUCGAAGCCCCGGUAAACGGCGGCCGUAACUAUAACGGUCCUAAGGUAGCGAAAUUCCUUGUCGGGUAAGUUCCGACCUGCACGAAUGGCGUAAUGAUGGCCAGGCUGUCUCCACCCGAGACUCAGUGAAAUUGAACUCGCUGUGAAGAUGCAGUGUACCCGCGGCAAGACGGAAAGACCCCGUGAACCUUUACUAUAGCUUGACACUGAACAUUGAGCCUUGAUGUGUAGGAUAGGUGGGAGGCUUUGAAGUGUGGACGCCAGUCUGCAUGGAGCCGACCUUGAAAUACCACCCUUUAAUGUUUGAUGUUCUAACGUGGACCCGUAAUCCGGGUUGCGGACAGUGUCUGGUGGGUAGUUUGACUGGGGCGGUCUCCUCCUAAAGAGUAACGGAGGAGCACGAAGGUUGGCUAAUCCUGGUCGGACAUCAGGAGGUUAGUGCAAUGGCAUAAGCCAGCUUGACUGCGAGCGUGACGGCGCGAGCAGGUGCGAAAAGCAGGUCAUAGUGAUCCGGUGGUUCUGAAUGGAAGGGCCAUCGCUCAACGGAUAAAAAGGUACUCCGGGGAUAACAGGCUGAUACCGCCCAAGAGUUCAUAUCGACGGCGGUGUUUGGCACCUCGAUGUCGGCUCAUCACAUCCUGGGGCUGAAGUAGGUCCCAAGGGUAUGGCUGUUCGCCAUUUAAAGUGGUACGCGAGCUGGGUUUAGAACGUCGUGAGACAGUUCGGUCCCUAUCUGCCGUGGGCGCUGGAGAACUGAGGGGGGCUGCUCCUAGUACGAGAGGACCGGAGUGGACGCAUCACUGGUGUUCGGGUUGUCAUGCCAAUGGCACUGCCCGGUAGCUAAAUGCGGAAGAGAUAAGUGCUGAAAGCAUCUAAGCACGAAACUUGCCCCGAGAUGAGUUCUCCCUGAGACUUUAAGUCUCCUGAAGGAACGUUGAAGACGACGACGUUGAUAGGCCGGGUGUGUAAGCGCAGCGAUGCGUUGAGCUAACCGGUACUAAUGAACCGUGAGGCUUAACCUU
rnacentral:rRNA from 1 species